UACGAAGGGGGCUAGCGUUGUUCGGAAUCACUGGGCGUAAAGCGCACGCAGGCGGAUUGAUAAGUCAGGGGUGAAAUCCCGGAGCUCAACUUCGGAAUUGCCUUUGAUACUGUCUGUCUUCGAGUUCGGGAGAGGUUGGCGGAAUUCCGAGUGUAGAGGUGAAAUUCGUAGAUAUUCGGAAGAACACCAGUGGCGAAGGCGACUAACUGGUCCAGCACUGACGCUGAGGUGCGAAAGCGUGGGGAGCAAACAGG
rnacentral:rRNA from 1 species